CAAUAGCGUAUAUUAAAGUUGUUGCAGUUAAAAAGCUCGUAGUUGGAUUUCUGGUGAGAUGGAUUAUGUCUAGGUCGAAAGAUCUUGUUCAUGGUUCGUUUUGCCCUUCUUGUCAGGAACCCGCUGAGAUUCGCGUCUUGUCGGUGGGAUGGCAUCGUUUACUGUGAAAAAAUUAGAGUGUUCAAAGCAGGCAUCGCCGUUGAAUACAUUAGCAUGGAAUAAUAAGAUAAGACUUUGGUGGUCUAUUUUGUUGGUUUGCACGCCAAAGUAAUGAUUAAUAGGGAUAGUUGGGGGUAUUCGUAUUCCAUUGUCAGAGGUGAAAUUCUUGGAUUUUUGGAAGACGAACUACUGCGAAAGCAUUUACCAAGGAUGUUUUCAUUAA
rnacentral:rRNA from 1 species